CACAAUCUUACAGUCUAGAAGUUCACUAGGUUGAUUCUUUCCCUUUCCAACCUAAGACAUGGUAAUUCAGACUCCCAACAAGAAGUUGAAAUGUGAAUUCAAGUCAAAAUAUUUCAUUCAGAUGCGUUUAAAGUAAUUUGUGUUUCCCCAAUUGAUUGCCAAAUUGCUAGGAAAUUCUAUCAGCAAUACUUUAUUCCCUCAGCUCUUUUCCUCCCCCACAAAAAUUACACUAAAGUCAGGGCUGAUAGGUGCAAUUUAAAGGAAGUAUUUUUCUGUAAAAUGCAAGCAAACCCUCAUUCAAAUGAACACUCCAGUUUAUGCUCCAUAAACAAUUCUGACAUCAAAAUUAGUAUGCGUUCCUAAGAAACACUGUUUACUACAGUAACAGUGGAAUGCAGUCUUGUAAUGCUGGCUUUCUUAACCGAAGAAAGAAAAGACGAAUAUGGUGCAGAUAACUGUUGUAGCUUCUGGGGAGUAUCUGAUGUAUUCUGAAAUGCCUGUGGUGUGUAGGGGACCUGUACAGAAGAAAUAAUACAGCAUUCUUCUGCUCUGAGAUCAGCAGAGAAGUAAGAAAUAAGCAGCCAACUCAUGCUGACCCUUAAAAAAAGGCAGAUCUUUCAGAGAGUUCAAGAUGAAAAACAUGGCAAACCAAAGGGUGGCUGUCCUCAGCCUGAAGGUGCAGCACUGUAGAUGGUACAAUGUCUUUGGCUUCUGUCUGAUCAAUGGGUGUUGAAAGUCACUUCAGAAGGUACAUGGAAGAGUCCAGAGUGAUCAUCUCUUCAUCACCUCCUACAUCCUGUGUGCUGACACCACCCACUCCAUUUGGAUUCCAUUUCUUCAACCCAUUAGCUCGUACCACAAGGCUGACCCCACCUACAAAUACAGUUUGAGAAGAAAAAAAACCAAAACUAAUAGGCUUUUUAAAUUUUAAGUGAUCC
rnacentral:lncRNA from 1 species